rnacentral:lncRNA from 1 species
UGCCGGUUAUGGUCUCAUUAAUAUUUACCACACCUUCAUUCGUUAUUAGCUUCUGAUAAAAAAAAAAUCUGCUAGUGAAAUUGUUGAAACUAAGGAUUUAGGUUUUUAACAAUUGAGGCGAGCGGAACGAGGCGUAAAAAUUGAUGACUACGGAUUUUCCUAGGAAGAUCCUAUCAAUUACUGGUAUUAUUAGAGUAACAAAGAACUCUACCUUUUUAAAUUUAUUAUUUUUUUUUUACUUAUUUUAUUUCCAUUUUUUUAUAAUUUCUAUCCAGUUUUUUUGUCGUUAAAAAAUCUUCCAACAUUAUGAUUACUUCCAAUAACUUCAAUUUCAAUGAGUGAAAGUUUAUUCCAUGUAGUUUUCUAAAUACAAGAGAUUAACAGAUUAAAAUAACCUGUCUUUUUUAAAUAUUUAAAAUAUUAAGUUUUUUAUUCAAUUGAUAAUUUAACAUUAAAAAU